rnacentral:rRNA from 1 species
UGGGGAAUCUUGCGCAAUGUGCGAAAGCGUGACGCAGCAACGCCGCGUGAGGGAAGACGGCCUUCGGGUUGUAAACCUCUUUCAGGAGGGACGAAGGUCCGGCCGCGAAUAGCGAGUCGGAUUGACGGUACCUCCAGAAGAAGCCCCGGCUAACUACGUGCCAGCAGCCGCGGUAAUACGUAGGGGGCAAGCGUUGUCCGGAAUCAUUGGGCGUAAAGCGCGCGUAGGCGGCCCGGUAAGUCCGCUGUAAAAGUCAAAGGCUCAACCUUUGAAUGCCGGUGGAUACUGUCGGGCUAGAGUCCGGAAGAGGCGAGUGGAAUUCCUGGUGUAGCGGUGGAAUGCGCAGAUAUCAGGAGGAACACCAAUAGCGAAGGCGGCUCACUGGCCCGUAACUGACGCUGAGGUGCGAAAGCGUGGGGAGCAAACAG